rnacentral:rRNA from 1 species
UGGGGAAUAUUGGACAAUGGGGGCAACCCUGAUCCAGCCAUGCCGCGGGUGUGAAGAAGGCCUUAUGUUUUUAAAGCACUUUAGGCGAGGAGGAGGCUCUCUUGGUUAAUACCCAAGAAGACGGGACGUUACUCGCAGAAUAAGCACCGGCUAACUCUUGGCCAGCAGCCGCGUUAUUACAGAGGGUGCGAGCGUUAACCGUAUUUACUGGGCGUAAAGCGUGCGUAGGCUGCUUUUUAAGUCGGAUGUGAAAUCCCCGAGAUUAACUUGGGAAUUGCAUUCGAUACUGGGAAGCUAGAGUCUGGGAGAGGAUGGUAGAAUUCCAGGUGUAGCGGUGAAAUGCGUAGAGAUCUGGAGGAAUACCGAUGGCGAAGGCAGCCAUCUGGCCUAAUACUGACGCUGAGGUACGAAAGCAUGGGGAGCAAACAGG